ACGUAUCAUAGAAUUCGGUCCAAAACCAGCCGCGGCGGGAUUCAUGCCUUGCAUCGGUUGAUACUGAGGUUGGAAGUUUGGUCUUGCCGUAGCUGGAUAAUUAUUUGGAUAUUGUGUCGUUGGCAUAUUGUUAAAACCUGGCUGCAUCGCCGCAGGAUUAGGAUUAGCAUAAGGUCCCUGCUGUCUCUUUUGCGCCAUAUGUAUGGCUGGAUUAGGAUAUGGUGCUAAUCUUCUUGGAUAUCCUUGAAGAGGCUGCGCCUGAGUAGCAGAUGAAUUAUAGGUAUUUAUAAUCAUCGUUAUCAUUAUCAUCGUUUUUACUUAGCAUUAAGCGGACAAGAAGUGGCGAAGAAUUACCUGCAUCUUAUUCAUCUGUAUGUUGUUAGGUCCCAUCAUGUUGUUCAUUCCCAUGUUACCCAUGUUACUCAUGGAGCUCAUGGGGUUCAUACCGUUCAUACCGUUCAUACCGCUCAUACCAUUAAUGCCGUUCAUGCCGUUCAUGCCGUUCAUGCCGUUCAUGCCUCCCAUUGUCAUAGGAUUCAUCGUGUUCAUCCCACUCAUACUGUUCAUUGAAUUCAUGGAAUUCAUAGAAUGCAUUGGGCUCAUAGUGCCCAUGCCGUUAAAGUUGCUCAUCCCAACUGGCCCCAUUCCUGCCAUUGGUCCUCUUUGGGCGUACCCUGUGUUGUACGUUUGAUGGGGUAUCCCAUGUUGGCUUUGCAUCUAUAACAAUGAGCAUAGGAAAUUGUUAUAAUAUGAUCGACGAUCAUUUAUUUUUUAAACUUAUCAUUUUGCUUGCAUCGUAUGAAUGUUUACCUGAUUAAAUUGUGCGGGGAUAUCUUGGCGGUCCUGCAUGGCCACCACGCUGGCAGUGGCGGUGGCCGUAGCGGUGGCAGCUGCCACCAUCGCCGCGGCACUAAAUGUCGAACCACCACCCCCGCUCUGAGGUGGCACUGUGUUAUGAUAGCCGGAUGAUAGCACGGGUUGCACCCCAACGCCGAUCGCCGCCGUUUUUGAUAAUUAUAUAGUUACCAACCCUUGAAAAAAUAUCGAGCUUCCGCGUUGAGGAGUAGGAACGUUCAAAUGCCUUCCAGAAAUUCUAAAACAUAAUAUUCCUCAACGAUAAUUUUAUCAUACUAACAGAAAGUACAAGGAUUAGUGGAAGGGUUAGCGCAAGGAUACCCGAAGAAUUCGUUCGACAAAAUGAAUGAAGUUUAGGUAGGUAGGAAGGAUGGAACGAGUGAACGAACCGCGUCAAACCGUUGAUACUUCCAGCUGGCCACACCAUAGCACGUAGCCCCCAUUGCCUUUCUGUGGGAAAUACACGUGCUCGCUAUUCACACACCGCCGCUAUAAACACAGCGUGCGAGCGUCCUGCCAGGCAGUAUGUAAGACAUUUUUACCUAAGUUUAAUCAGGUUAUUUAAAAUUUUUUAUAAAUUUUUAAUAAUCAUAUAUAAAAAGAAAAUUUAAUUUGUUCAGUUACGUCGAUAAAAAGAAAAUUCACAACCGCGAGAUGGCGUUUAUCGUCGAUAAGAUAGAAAUCUUAUAAGUCGAUAUUUAAAUGUUUCCUUCCGGAAGAAAAGAUAUAUUAAAGAAAACACGAUCGAAGAAGAGAACUUUCGAAGCAUCGUCGUCGUUCUCGAGAUGCGAUUACGACGCAUCGAACAAAAACAAAUCCAGAAUAAUAGCCUCUCGUGGGAAUUCAAUAGGUCGUGAGAGACGGGUGUACGUGAAUAUACAUAUAUAAGUGUAGUACGCACGGGAGCGCGUAUAUAAAUGUAUAUAUGUACAUACUAUAUAUAUAAUAUAUAUAUAUAUAUAUAUAUAUAUAUUUACAUACGUAGCGUACGCGUCCCGAUAUAGCACGUGGAGAGGGAGAGUUUCCGAGGUUGACGUCAUCCUCGUCCCACCCCCUUUAAAUUCGUGCUCAAUGCAAGAGCGACCUAACCGAACCUCCAUUCGUCUCUCUCUCACUCUCUCUCUCUCUCUCUCUCUCUCUCUCUCUCUCUCUCUCUCUCUGUCUCUCUAUUUCUCUCAUACACAUACACUCUCCACUUCGGUCGAACGUUGUUCCUUCUUUCUUCCCUUCUUCUUCCCUUCCUUCUUCCCCCAUCCGGUGGCGAACCCCUCGGUAAAGCAGCCCACAACGGGUUUCUAUUCUCGGAUGUCAAUAUUUCGUCAACUAGAGCCUACUCGGCACGCAACAAAAGGCCCUACACAGCUUGCGCUCGGCACCGAGUGAAAGAAAGAACGACGACGAGACGCAACGUGGUUUCUCUUAGAGAGACAGAGAGAAAGAGAGAAGGAGAGGAUGCAACAGCAGUAAAACGAAGAGAAGAGAGCCCCAAUAUGAUGGGGGCUGCUAAAAAGCAUUCGAGGUCGCGAACCAGCUGAACGAACUUUUAAGGGCAUUAAGCAUCGAUUAUUUCCUCUUCUAAAUACGUGAUAAACGAAUAUAUAAAACUCCUUCCUCUUCGAUUAUUAUCGAGAAAGAAAUAUUAUAA